UCCAGGAUAGUUUUCAUUUUGGCACACAAUAUUGGCCAUUCACCACCAAAAACCCCUAAUCUUCUUCAUCGCAAAAACUAAUCGAUUCUUCAUCUUCGCCGUCAUGUUCCGGUAACCCUACCAUCGAUUUACCACCGUCAGUCUUCAAUACGCACUGUGUCGUCGACUAUAUCUCAUCAUCCAUAGAUUCUCCACCAGAAAUAAAGAACAAAUCAAUGAACUCUUCUCCAUUCGUCGACCCGGAAUACUCAUACUCUUUACCAAGAUUCAUCAUCGGAAAGAGGAAACUACCUGAGACCGUACCAGAGUUGAAGUCUUCUCAGAAUCUUCGAAGAAUGAAGGUGUAAUAGUUGUGGGCCACACAAAUCAACAGAUCAUAUGCGUGGAUGAUUUUGAUUCAUCAUCGCAACCAAGUAUUGACUGUGAUUACCUCAAUCCAGAUAAGUUUUAUGUAUUUUAUUCGAACCGGUUCUAGUUUCUACGUUUAUUAGAGAAAUGGAUUCUUCUAUUUCUACUAACUCCAACUUUGGUGUUGUGUAAAUUGUCUAAUGCCCUUUAAUCUAUCUUUCGGGUGCAUAGACAGAACGGAUAAUCAAAGAGAUUAAACAGGUCUCUAUGUUGACUCGGUCUUUUGAUGGCGUCAGCCUCAUGGCAGUGAUGAGAACAACGCCGCGCAGGAAUUCUGCACACCACGCAUUCGAUGAAAUGCCAAAUAGAAAAUCAAGAAGAAAAGUUGGGGCCUUGGAAGACUUCGGGCAUGCCAACAUCAAACUGUUGCUCGAAUAGUUAGAUCGUACCGUCAAGACCGUAAUUCAUAGAUAAGUCACAUAUACUCACUCUAUUAUGUGGUAUUUAAACUUUUCAUACAUUGCACUAUUUGGUUGUAAUAACAACUAUCAGAUUAUAGGGUUAAAACCUAAUAUAACCCCUGUUGUCAAUAAAACCUUUGGCACAAUCACAUAACUUGAAUAUGUUAAGAGCUUAACACCGGUAGUUGUUUCGAUCUCGGCCUUAGUGUAUGGACUGAAUUUUUAAUGAGUUGCUGCUAAGCAGUUUUAAAAAAUUCAUAUAUUGAAGAGUAUAUUACAGGAUUUAAUAUGAUGUCAAUAUUGUUAAGAUAAUCUGAGCAACCGACGGGUUUACGCCACGGUGUUCCAAGGAGAGCAAUCUGUAAUGGAGAUGGUGGUCGAUCCAUCAACAUCUUUACAAGCAGUUUAUGGAGUGGAAGUGGUGGGAGUUUUACGUGGAAAACAAUCCUUAUGAUCCAAGCUUGAUAGUUUUUAUGAGUUAUAAAAGACUCAAUGGAGAAAAUGUUCAAUGUCUAAAAGUUAGCUAUCCAACAUUUCUUUAUGUGAUGCUUUCCCAUGCCUAGUGCAAGAGCGUUCUUCAAGGUUUGUUCAGUACUUUUCUUAGUGUAAU